rnacentral:rRNA from 1 species
CAUAGCGACUAUCGUGGCAUAUCAAUAAGCGGAGGAAAAGAAACUAACAAGGAUUCCCUUAGUAACGGCGAGUGAAGCGGGAAGAGCUCAAAUUUGAAAUCUUCAAGGUUUUACCUUGACGAAUUGUAGUUUAAAGAAGUGUUUUCUGUUGGAGUUUUGGUAAAAGUUCUUUGGAAUAGGACAUCAUAGAGGGUGAGAAUCCCGUAUUUGACCAUUAUUUCCAGCUGUGUGAUACACUUUCAAAGAGUCGGAUUGUUUGGGAAUGCAGUCCAAAAUGGGUGGUAAAUUUCAUCUAAAGCUAAAUAUUGGCGAGAGACCGAUAGCGAACAAGUACCGUGAGGGAAAGAUGAAAAGAACUUUGAAAAGAGAGUUAAACAGUACGUGAAAUUGUCAAAAGGGAAGCGUUUGACACCAGUGUUGUUUAGUUGAAAAUCAAUUAAAUAUUUUUCGAUUUUAAGUAGUAUUGACCUUAUCAGCUUGCUGCUUUUUUCUCGGAAAUUAUUUAAUGCACUUUUCAGUUAACAAGUCAACAUCAAUUUCUUUUGUUGUAAAAGGGUAUGAGGAAGGUGGCUUUCUUUUCGGAGAAAGUGUUUAUAGCCUUGUAGCCUCUGCAAUCGGAGAGAUUGAGGUCUGCAGCGUAGAUCCUUCGGGGUUAGAUACAGUUGUGCUAAGCUAUAGCCUUGUAUAGACAACUUGUUGACUAUGCUCAGUCAUGUAGCUUACUCGCUGAUGCUAUUUUACCUACGCUUAGGAUGUUGACGCGCGUGUGUGCGUG